rnacentral:misc_RNA from 1 species
AAUUAGCUGGUUAAGAACAACCGACAAAGACAAAAAUAUUUAUUGGUACAAUAAACAUAACAUACAAAUGGGCUGUCAAAAUCAAUCGUCUAUUAAUUCACAUUAUAAAUACCUCCAAAUUCUGUAUAUAUUGUUAAGAUGGAGUCACAGAAUCAUUUCAUCAAAAACCAUAGGCUCUCAAAAGUCGACAACCACCUAUGGUCCCGGAACUCCCAAUGGGCCAAGAAAACCUCAAAAUAACAGGUAGACUACCUACCCCUAAAAUUAUGAUGCGAUAACCAUGCGUCAAGGAUCUCCAUUUGUAGAUUAACAAAAAAGAUGAAAUUUUCAUGAACCAAAGAGAAACGGGUUCACCUUCAAAUCAUGGGUUUUUCAUGUUUAACCAGAAAGAGCUAUAGGUCAACAUGGAUCUUAGAAAAGCAUUCACCUUUUGUUUAAGUUGUUAAAAUGAAAAUAACAGUAAUGCUAAUGAAACCCGAAAAUUUCAGAUUCCACAAGUAAAAAUAUAUAAAACACA